rnacentral:rRNA from 1 species
AGAGUUCCUUUCUGGCUCAGGAUGAACGCUGGCGGCGUGCCUAAUACAUGCAAGUCGAACGCUUCACUUCGGUGAAGAGUGGCGAACGGGUGAGUAAUACAUAAGUAACCUGGCAUCUACAGGGGGAUAACUGAUGGAAACGUCAGCUAAGACCGCAUAGGUGUAGAGAUCGCAUGAACUCUAUAUGAAAAGUGCUACGGGACUGGUAGAUGAUGGACUUAUGGCGCAUUAGCUGGUUGGUAGGGUAACGGCCUACCAAGGCGACGAUGCGUAGCCGACCUGAGAGGGUGACCGGCCACACUGGGACUGAGACACGGCCCAGACUCCUACGGGAGGCAGCAGUAGGGAAUUUUCGGCAAUGGGGGAAACCCUGACCGAGCAACGCCGCGUGAAGGAAGAAGUAAUUCGUUAUGUAAACUUCUGUCAUAGAGGAAGAACGGUGGAUAUAGGGAAUGAUAUCCAAGUGACGGUACUCUAUAAGAAAGCCACGGCUAACUACGUGCCAGCAGCCGCGGUAAUACGUAGGUGGCGAGCGUUAUCCGGAAUUAUUGGGCGUAAAGAGGGAGCAGGCGGCACUAAGGGUCUGUGGUGAAAGAUCGAAGCUUAACUUCGGUAAGCCAUGGAAACCGUAGAGCUAGAGUGUGUGAGAGGAUCGUGGAAUUCCAUGUGUAGCGGUGAAAUGCGUAGAUAUAUGGAGGAACACCAGUGGCGAAGGCGACGAUCUGGCGCAUAACUGACGCUCAGUCCCGAAAGCGUGGGGAGCAAAUAGGAUUAGAUACCCUAGUAGUCCACGCCGUA